GGGGGUAUAGCUCAGCUGGGAGAGCAGCAGACUGAAGGACAUAGUUGACUUUCUGAAGGUCCCGCGUUCGAUCCGCGGUACCCCCA